rnacentral:rRNA from 1 species
CCAGACUCCUACGGGAGGCAGCAGUGAGGAAUAUUGGUCAAUGGGCGCGAGCCUGAACCAGCCAAGUCGCGUGAGGGAUGACGGCCCUACGGGUUGUAAACCUCUUUUGUCGGGGAGCAAAUUCCGUUACGUGUAACGGAGUCGAGAGUACCCGGAGAAAAAGCAUCGGCUAACUCCGUGCCAGCAGCCGCGGUAAUACGGAGGAUGCGAGCGUUAUCCGGAUUUAUUGGGUUUAAAGGGUGCGUAGGCGGGAUGCCAAGUCAGCGGUAAAAUGCGGGGGCUCAACCUGCGUCCGCCGUUGAAACUGGCGUUCUUGAGUGGGCGAGAAGUACGCGGAAUGCGUGGUGUAGCGGUGAAAUGCAUAGAUAUCACGCAGAACCCCGAUUGCGAAGGCAGCGUACCGGCGCCCAACUGACGCUGAAGCACGAAAGCGUGGGUAUCGAACAGGAUUAGAUACCCCCGUACU